UACGAAGGGGGCAAGCGUUGUUCGGAAUUACUGGGCGUAAAGCGCGCGCAGGCGGUCCUUUAAGUCAGGGGUGAAAGCCCAGAGCUCAACUCUGGAACUGCCUUUGAAACUAGAGGACUUGGGUACGGGAGAGGUGAGUGGAAUUCCGAGUGUAGAGGUGAAAUUCGUAGAUAUUCGGAAGAACACCAGUGGCGAAGGCGGCUCACUGGCCCGUUACCGACGCUCAGGCGCGACAGCGUGGGGAGCAAACAGG
rnacentral:rRNA from 1 species